rnacentral:rRNA from 1 species
UACGUAGGGGGCAAGCGUUGUCCGGAAUUACUGGGCGUAAAGAGCUCGUAGGUGGUUUGUCGCGUUGUCCGUGAAAACUCACAACUCAAUUGUGGGCGUGCGGGCGAUACGGGCAGACUGGAGUACUGCAGGGGAGACUGAAAUUCCUGGUGUAGCGGUGGAAUGCGCAGAUAUCAGGAGGAACACCGGUGGCGAAGGCGGGUCUCUGGGCAGUAACUGACGCUGAGGAGCGAAAGCGUGGGGAGCGAACAGG